rnacentral:rRNA from 1 species
AGUGAACGCUGGCGGUAGGCCUAACACAUGCAAGUCGAACGGCAGCACAGUAAGAGCUUGCUCUUACGGGUGGCGAGUGGCGGACGGGUGAGGAAUACAUCGGAAUCUACUUUUUCGUGGGGGAUAACGUAGGGAAACUUACGCUAAUACCGCAUACGACCUACGGGUGAAAGCAGGGGAUCUUCGGACCUUGCGCGAUUGAAUGAGCCGAUGUCGGAUUAGCUAGUUGGCGGGGUAAAGGCCCACCAAGGCGACGAUCCGUAGCUGGUCUGAGAGGAUGGUCAGCCACACUGGAACUGGAACACGGUCCAGACUCCUACGGGAGGCAGCAGUGGGGAAUAUUGGACAAUGGGCGCAAGCCUGAUCCAGCCAUACCGCGUGGGUGAAGAAGGCCUUCGGGUUGUAAAGCCCUUUUGUUGGGAAAGAAAAGCAGCAGGUUAAUACCCCGCUGUCCUGACGGUACCCAAAGAAUAAGCACCGGCUAACUUCGUG